ACUCCUACGGGAGGCAGCAGUGGGGAAUAUUGGACAAUGGGCGCAAGCCUGAUCCAGCCAUGCCGCGUGAGUGAUGAAGGCCCUAGGGUUGUAAAGCUCUUUCACCGGUGAAGAUAAUGACGGUAACCGGAGAAGAAGCCCCGGCUAACUUCGUGCCAGCAGCCGCGGUAAUACGAAGGGGGCUAGCGUUGUUCGGAUUUACUGGGCGUAAAGCGCACGUAGGCGGACUAUUAAGUCAGGGGUGAAAUCCCGGGGCUCAACCCCGGAACUGCCUUUGAUACUGGUAGUCUUGAGUUCGAGAGAGGUGAGUGGAAUUCCGAGUGUAGAGGUGAAAUUCGUAGAUAUUCGGAGGAACACCAGUGGCGAAGGCGGCUCACUGGCUCGAUACUGACGCUGAGGUGCGAAAGCGUGGGGAGCAAACAGGAGUAGAUACCCCGGUAGUCC
rnacentral:rRNA from 1 species